CUUCCUCCCUGUCAUGUUAGGGGUGAGUAUCGCCGCCUCAAUAGGCCUCACUGGGGGGCCCUCGGGAACAGUCUGGUCACUGCUCAGCACUUUAAUGACAAGCUCCAGUUAGCCCUGGAGUCUACUACUGUCUCUUUUAGCCUCCCUACAGCAGCAAGUGACAUCAGUAGCCCAAGUAGCCCUACAGAACCAGCGCACCUUAGACCUUCUGACUGCAAAAAGAGGAGGAACCUGCAUAUUCCUUCAGGAAGAAUGCUGUUAACUACAUCAAGUCCGGAGUAGUGGAGCAAAAUCCCCGUGCCUCCUCAAGUUCAUCCGCUCCCGGAUCGCAGAGAUGUCACGGGUGACUGUGAAUCAGCUCCUGCUCCAUCCCUACACUCGGCUCCCCUCCGACCCGACUCUGCCUAACCCCGGCCUUUAACCGCCGCCCCCCUCGUCGUCCCUGUUCAGCUGGAAGCAGUCAGAGAGUCGCCGACCCUUAUCACCAAAAGGCCGGGAUGUUAGGUCGGAGGGAGCCCGGAGCCCGGGAUCGGAUACAUGCGGACAUGGGAUGAGACAAUGGACUUCCUCUGGAAUUUCUCACAGAUCUGGAAUCUCUCACGGGUCAGCGUGCCAGACACAGAUACCUGCUUCUCCUUGAAGUUCACAGAGAUCCCCGCACAAGAUACUGACCCAUUCCUGAAUGUGCCGCCCACCCCCUGCGGCCGAGACUCCCUCAGUUGAAUGUGUGAUGAUCCCUGCUGA